AAAGAGCAAAGGGACAAUGACCAAUAAGUGAACUGAAACCAUCAUGAAUACUGAGACUGAAGUGUGCUUUUGCGGGAUAGGAAUCAAACCACAUUGAGGGGAUGCAUUGGGCUGAAAUGUCAUGGAAUGCUUUUCUGGGACUCUCAGCUCCAUCAAACCAUAAAUGAGAUUGGUGGUGGGGAGAAUCUUCUCUGGCCUAUACACUUUCCAUGGGAACCAUCAUGGCCAUCCCAUAGGCUUACUAGAAGAGCUGCUGUGACCUUUAUUCCUGCUUAGCCCAAUCUCAGCAGACCAGGGAAUAACAAGAACCAUUGAUUCCCCUGAGCUGCGCCAAUGUGGUUCCAGCUGUAACAGCACAAGCCCUGGAACACUGCUCAUUUGAUAAGAAAAGAAGUCUGCAAGCCAAGGAGAGAGGCCUCAGGAGAAACCAGCCCUUCUGACACCUUGAUCUUGGACUUCUAGACUCCGGAACUGUGAGAAAAUAAAUUUCUGUUGGUUAAGCCAUCUAGUCUGUGGUGUUUUGUUAAGGCACCCCUAGCAAGCUAAUGCAAGACUCAUAUUCAGAAGAUAGAGAGAGCUUUAUAAAACAAUAUCAAAAAGACAGUCAAUACAAUGAGAACUGUACAAAAAAAAUUACAGAAAGCACUUCACGAAAG
rnacentral:lncRNA from 1 species